AAAAAGGUGUGACGGGGAGCGAAAUUAUAGUAGCGAAGUCCGGAUACAUGCUGUCAAGAAAAGCCGCUAUUGCGCCAUAUGUACCCGUACCGUAAACCGACACAGGUGGAUGAGGAGAGAAUCCUAAGGCCGGCGGGAGAAGUGUUGUUAAGGAACUCGGCAAAAUGGCCCCGUAACUUCGGGAGAAGGGGCGCCCAGAAAUGGGCCGCAGAGAAAAGGCUCAAGCAACUGUUUAGCAAAAACACAGGUCUAUGCGAAACCGAAAGGUGAGGUAUAUGGGCUGACGCCUGCCCGGUGCUGGAAGGUUAAGGGGAGAGGUUAGCCGCAAGGCGAAGCUUUGAACUUAAGCCCCAGUAAACGGCGGCCGUAACGAUAACGGUCCUAAGGUAGCGAAAUUCCUUGUCGGGUAAGUUCCGACCCGCACGAAAGGCGUAAUGAUUUGAGCACUGUCUCGACAACACACCCGGUGAAAUUGAAAUACCAGUGAAGAUGCUGGUUACCUGCGCCAGGACGGAAAGACCCCAUGGAGCUUUACUCUAGUUUGAUACUGGGACCCGGUAUGACAUGUACAGGAUAGGUGGGAGGCAGAGAAUUAAUGACGCCAGUCAUUAAGGAGCCGCUGUUGGGAUACCACCCUUGUGAUGCCAGGUUUCUAACGAGCUGCCGUGAACCGGCAGGCGGACAAUGUCAGGCGGGGAGUUUGACUGGGGCGGUCGCCUCCGAAAGGGUAUCGGAGGCGCUCAAAGGUUCCCUCAGAAUGGUUGGAAACCAUUCGGAGAGUGCAAAGGCAGAAGGGAGCCUGACUGCGACACCGACGGGUGGAGCAGGUACGAAAGUAGGACUUAGUGAUCCGGUGGUAUAAAGUGGGAUUGCCAUCGCUCAACGGAUAAAAGCUACCCUGGGAUAACAGGCUUAUCACUCCCAAGAGUUCACAUCGACGGAGUGGUUUGGCACCUCGAUGUCGGCUCAUCGCAUCCUGGGGCUGGAGUAGGUCCCAAGGGUUGGGCUGUUCGCCCAUUAAAGCGGUACGCGAGCUGGGUUCAGAACGUCGUGAGACAGUUCGGUCCCUAUCCGGCGCGGGCGUAAGAGAUUUGAGAGGAGCUGUCCUUAGUACGAGAGGACCGGGAUGGACGGACCACUGGUGUAUCUGUUGCACCACCAGGUGCACGGCAGAGUAGCCAAGUCCGGACGGGAUAAACGCUGAAGGCAUCUAAGCGUGAAGCCCCCCUCAAGAUGAGAUCUCUCAUUCGAAAGAAGUAAGACCCCUUGAAGACGACGAGGUAGAUAGGGCAGAGGUGGAAGGGCAGUAAUGUCCGGAGCUGACUGUUACUAAUCGGUCGAGGGCUUGACCU
rnacentral:rRNA from 1 species